rnacentral:rRNA from 1 species
UACAGAGGUCCCAAGCGUUGUUCGGAUUCAUUGGGCGUAAAGGGUGCGUAGGUGGCGCUGUAAGUGGGGUGUGAAAUCCCGGGGCUUAACUCCGGAACUGCAUUCCAUACUGCGGUGCUUGAGGACUGGAGAGGAGACUGGAAUUUACGGUGUAGCAGUGAAAUGCGUAGAGAUCGUAAGGAAGACCAGUGGCGAAGGCGGGUCUCUGGACAGUUCCUGACACUGAGGCACGAAGGCCAGGGGAGCAAACGGG